rnacentral:rRNA from 1 species
GAUGAACGCUGGCGGCGUGCCUAAUACAUGCAAGUCGAGCGAACGGACGAGAAGCUUGCUUCUCUGAUGUUAGCGGCGGACGGGUGAGUAACACGUGGAUAACCUACCUAUAAGACUGGGAUAACUUCGGGAAACCGGAGCUAAUACCGGAUAAUAUUUUGAACCGCAUGGUUCAAAAGUGAAAGGCGGUCUUGCUGUCACUUAUAGAUGGAUCCGCGCUGCAUUAGCUAGUUGGUAAGGUAACGGCUUACCAAGGCAACGAUGCAUAGCCGACCUGAGAGGGUGAUCUGCCACACUGGAACUGAGACACGGUCCAGACUCCUACGGGAGGCAGCAGUGGGGAAUCUUCCGCAAUGGGCGAAAGCCUGACGGAGCAACGCCGCGUGAGUGAUGAAGGUCUUCGGAUCGUAAAACUCUGUUAUUAGGGAAGAACAUAUGUGUAAGUAACUGUGCACAUCUUGACGGUACCUAAUCAGAAAGCCACGGCUAACUACGUG